rnacentral:lncRNA from 1 species
AUUACAGUAAGUUGGCAGGAGUUCAAACAGUUCUCUGUAAAUUUGUUUAACUGCGUAGAUUAAAUGGCAAUAUAUUUUCUAUAAUGAAACUUGUUGAAAUGAGAGGGAAUCAGCUAUUUACAAUCAUGGCAUAACUACCUAGGCACUCAGCAUCUCGAUGAAAACUGUUGGAAAAGAAAAACUUUCAGAGUCAUUCUGCCCUCAGAGUAGUCAAGCCAACUAAACUGUAUAUUACUGGAAACUUCAGAAGAAAAUGAGGGAGUUUCAGAAAGGAACUGAAGAGGUUGAUGACUGAAAAGGAUGAUUGAACACCAAAAUCUGCAGUUGAUUAGGAUGCAGACGUGGAAAGGAAGCAUGUAUAUAAAUAAAAGGGCCUUUCUGUAUAGAGCCCACAAACAUCGUGAAUGUGAAUCAUGUCAUUCAGAGGGUUAGUGACCAUGCCUCUGCCAUGAACAAGAGAAUUCAUUACUACAGCCGGCUCACCACUCCUGCAGACAAGGCACUGAUUGCCCCAGACCAUGUAGUUCCAGCUCCAGAAGAGUGCUAUGUGUAUAGU